UGCAACCGAAUUAGUUUUCAGGUUCAGCUUGAGGACUUUCUUCGUGAUCAUCCUUUAAAUGCACCCAGUUUGUUUAUUCUUUCUUAAUACGGUGGCUGCAGGGAGGCCCUAAGAUGCUCUGGUUGCACCCCCCGGGGCAGAUGCUGGUCCCUGGCGGGGCCAAGGGCAGAGCAGCGCACGGAGAAGCGCACCGGUCAGCGGGACUAACGGAGCCAGCGGGAGCAGCAGCGGCCGGCGGUCCCGCAGCGCCCGGGCGCAGCUCGGCAGGGCUGCCCGCGGGCAGAGGUGCAUCUCGGCUUCGCAGCGCGCAGCAGGGGAGCGGCGCGCAGUGGGGCGCAGGGCAGCGGCGGCUCCGCCAAACCGCCCUGCGGCCCGUCGGAGCGGACAGCUGAAUUAAACCCACGAGGCGCAGAGGUAUAUUCAAACCAGCCGCGUUUUGCUCUGUGAGGUGCAACACGGAGGCGGAAAAGCCACCCUCGGGUACCUGGAAGAUCUGGAGUGCAUCUGAGGCUGAACUAUUAAAAUUCAAACCCCCUUUUGAAAGGGCGAGAGGCAGAAGAGCAUCCCCGAGAAACACACACACACACACACACUGCUCUUCACCCUGCAGGCAGCCCUGCCCACAGCCCUGCCCGCAGCCCUGCCUGCAGCGCUCCCGCGCCCACCACAAACGCCUCUCCCCAAACCACCAACGGGGCUUAAACACCGGCUGCCCGCUGGAAAACACGGCAGCGGCGAGGGAAGGGGUGCGCGGAUUCUGCUAUUUACGUGUCUGAACCAUAUUUUUAAAACCCCAGCAUUUAAAAUCGUACGAGAUGGAAAUUCCAGCCUCCUUUUUUCCUCAGGAGGUUGAAUACAAUUUAACUGAUCUGAGCGUGUAUUACGGGCUGGAAGAUAUGGGGGGUCAACGGAAAAAAAAUCAUGUGAAGUCAGGGAAUUUCCACGUGGUUUGUUAAAAAGGACACCAAUAUUUUUAAAGCAAGUUUGCUAUGAAUUUGGUACAACUAUAUAGGUGAAGGUUAUACACAGACAAAACUUCAGGAUCCCUUAGAUCGUGUGAAAAUUAAUACUGGAUGUGUUUGGGUUUUGUGUCUUUUCAGAACAAAAAUCAAUCAGAAUCUUCACAUAAUGAUUCAACGAUUUACCUAAAACUUAAAUUCUCAUCUGGACUAUAUCAAAGUCACAAGUUUAACUCCGUCUUUAACCAGGGACCACUACACAGCAUCUGUUUUCUGAGCAAGGUGUUUUAAAUAAAUAUUUGUUGAUAU
rnacentral:lncRNA from 1 species